ACACAUGCAAGUCGAGCGGAAACGAGUUAUCUGAACCUUCGGGGAACGAUAACGGCGUCGAGCGGCGGACGGGUGAGUAAUGCCUAGGAAAUUGCCCUGAUGUGGGGGAUAACCAUUGGAAACGAUGGCUAAUACCGCAUGAUGCCUACGGGCCAAAGAGGGGGACCUUCGGGCCUCUCGCGUCAGGAUAUGCCUAGGUGGGAUUAGCUAGUUGGUGAGGUAAGGGCUCACCAAGGCGACGAUCCCUAGCUGGUCUGAGAGGAUGAUCAGCCACACUGGAACUGAGACACGGUCCAGACUCCUACGGGAGGCAGCAGUGGGGAAUAUUGCACAAUGGGCGCAAGCCUGAUGCAGCCAUGCCGCGUGUGUGAAGAAGGCCUUCGGGUUGUAAAGCACUUUCAGUCGUGAGGAAGGUGGUGUAGUUAAUAGCUGCAUUAUUUGACGUUAGCGACAGAAGAAGCACCGGCUAACUCCGUGCCAGCAGCCGCGGUAAUACGGAGGGUGCGAGCGUUAAUCGGAAUUACUGGGCGUAAAGCGCAUGCAGGUGGUUUGUUAAGUCAGAUGUGAAAGCCCGGGGCUCAACCUCGGAAUAGCAUUUGAAACUGGCAGACUAGAGUACUGUAGAGGGGGGUAGAAUUUCAGGUGUAGCGGUGAAAUGCGUAGAGAUCUGAAGGAAUACCGGUGGCGAAGGCGGCCCCCUGGACAGAUACUGACACUCAGAUGCGAAAGCGUGGGGAGCAAACAGGAUUAGAUACCCUGGUAGUCCACGCCGUAAACGAUGUCUACUUGGAGGUUGUGGCCUUGAGCCGUGGCUUUCGGAGCUAACGCGUUAAGUAGACCGCCUGGGGAGUACGGUCGCAAGAUUAAAACUCAAAUGAAUUGACGGGGGCCCGCACAAGCGGUGGAGCAUGUGGUUUAAUUCGAUGCAACGCGAAGAACCUUACCUACUCUUGACAUCCAGAGAACUUUCCAGAGAUGGAUUGGUGCCUUCGGGAACUCUGAGACAGGUGAAACAUGGCUGUCGUCAGCUCGUGUUGUGAAAUGUUGGGUUAAGUCCCGCAACGAGCGCAACCCUUAUCCUUGUUUGCCAGCGAGUAAUGUCGGGAACUCCAGGGAGACUGCCGGUGAUAAACCGGAGGAAGGUGGGGACGACGUCAAGUCAUCAUGGCCCUUACGAGUAGGGCUACACACGUGCUACAAUGGCGCAUACAGAGGGCGGCCAACUUGCGAAAGUGAGCGAAUCCCAAAAAGUGCGUCGUAGUCCGGAUUGGAGUCUGCAACUCGACUCCAUGAAGUCGGAAUCGCUAGUAAUCGUGGAUCAGAAUGCCACGGUGAAUACGUUCCCGGGCCUUGUACACACCGCCCGUCACACCAUGGGAGUGGGCUGCAAAAGAAGUAGGUAGUUUAACCUUCGGGGGGACGCUUACC
rnacentral:rRNA from 1 species